rnacentral:rRNA from 1 species
GGGCUAUACAUGCAGUCGAGCGGACAGAAGGGAGCUUGCUCCCGGAUGUUAGCGGCGGACGGGUGAGUAACACGUGGGUAACCUGCCUGUAAGACUGGGAUAACUCCGGGAAACCGGAGCUAAUACCGGAUAGUUCCUUGAACCGCAUGGUUCAAGGAUGAAAGACGGUUUCGGCUGUCACUUGCAGAUGGACCCGCGGCGCAUUAGCUAGUUGGUGGGGUAAUGGCUCACCAAGGCGACGAUGCGUAGCCGACCUGAGAGGGUGAUCGGCCACACUGGGACUGAGACACGGCCCAGACUCCUACGGGAGGCAGCAGUAGGGAAUCUUCCGCAAUGGACGAAAGUCUGACGGAGCAACGCCGCGUGAGUGAUGAAGGUUUUCGGAUCGUAAAGCUCUGUUGUUAGGGAAGAACAAGUGCGAGAGUAACUGCUCGCACCUUGACGGUACCUAACCAGAAAGCCACGGCUAACUACGUGCCAGCAGCCGCGGUAAUACGUAGGUGGCAAGCGUUGUCCGGAAUUAUUGGGCGUAAAGGGCUCGCAGGCGGUUUCUUAAGUCUGAUGUGAAAGCCCCCGGCUCAACCGGGGAGGGUCAUUGGAAACUGGGAAACUUGAGUGCAGAAGAGGAGAGUGGAAUUCCACGUGUAGCGGUGAAAUGCGUAGAGAUGUGGAGGAACACCAGUGGCGAAGGCGACUCUCUGGUCUGUAACUGACGCUGAGGAGCGAAAGCGUGGGGAGCGAACAGGAUUAGAUACCCUGGUAGUCCACGCCGUACACGAUGAGUGCUAAGUGUUAGGGGGUUUCCGCCCCUUAGUGCUGCAGCUAACGCAUUAAGCACUCCGCCUGGGGAGUACGGUCGCAAGACUGAAACUCAAAGGAAUUGACGGGGGCCCGCACAAGCGGUGGAGCAUGUGGUUUAAUUCGAAGCAACGCGAAGAACCUUACCAGGUCUUGACAUCCUCUGACAACCCUAGAGAUAGGGCUUUCCCUUCGGGGACAGAGUGACAGGUGGUGCAUGGUUGUCGUCAGCUCGUGUCGUGAGAUGUUGGGUUAAGUCCCGCAACGAGCGCAACCCUUGAUCUUAUUUGCCAGCAUUUAGUUGGCACUCUAAGGUGACUGCCGGUGACAACCGGAAGAAGGUGGGGAUGACGUCAAUCAUCAUGCCCCUUAUGACCUGGGCUACCCACUGCUACAUGGACAAAAAAAGGCUGCAAGACCCAAGGUUAGCAAUCCC